rnacentral:rRNA from 1 species
UACGGAGGGUGCGAGCGUUAAUCGGAAUUGCUGGGCGUAAAGCGCGCGUAGGCGGUUUGUUAAGUCAGCUGUGAAAGCCCCGGGCUCAACCUGGGGACGCCACUCGAUACUGCUGUGGCUAGAGUCCAGUAGAGGAGUGUGGAAUUCCCGGUGUAGCGGUGAAAUGCGCAGAUAUCGGGAGGAACACCAACGGCGAAGGCAGCACUCUGGGCUGGAACGUGACGCUGAGGAGCGAAAGCGUGGGUAGCAAACAGG